GAUGUUAUUACCAGUCGGUGUAUUCUACGCUCGAGUUUACUACCUGUAGUCAUAUUCGAUACUGCAUAAUAUAUGAGUAACGCUUCAUGUGCUACACUAAUUGUUGCAUUCCAAUGUACCUGCGGCCGGGAGGUAAUUACAUAGAAUGGUCUAAAGUGCUCCUCUGAGAAUUAUGACGAGUAUGAGCGUGAAUGCUGUCUUUAAAUGAUAUGUCGCCAGGUAAGUUCAAUGGUAAAGGAAAAGCAAAGAAAUCGAAAUGUCGCUAGUCCGAUUCUCAGGCAAAGCGAAUGUUUUUCAUGUUGAUGUGACCAGAAAAAAAAUGCAUUCUUCGUCCGAAUUCUUAUUUUCGGAAUAAUAAGGAAGUAGUGUCAAUUUCUAGCAGUGAAUAAAAUCCUACUUUUAAAUGAUUCAGCAUAAAAUUUCUAUUAUUAGUUGUAUUAUUAAAUAGAUUAUCACGUUUCCGCCUCUCUCAUCAUUUGCACGCUGCAUAAAGGUCGCUGAAAUGAUGCACAGUUUAAAUAGGUCUGGUAAAUGGCCUUGAAUUACAAUGCAAACAGAAAAACAACGCGUGAUUUAUUUGAAAUUCAACACUUAACUUUCGAAAGUCAGGAUUUAGGUUAUUCAUUAAAACAAAAUUUUCGAAAUUUUGAAAGUUCAUGUACUUUCAUCUGUAAGAAAACUAAAUCAACGUGCUUCCUCCGAGUGGGGUACGUGAAUGCGUCUCUACUGCAUUAAUCACACAAUAAUCAGCUGACUUAAUGCUUUGCCUUGCACGAGAAACAAUACCAAAUCAUAGAAAGGAACGGUUGUGUCACAUGAAAACUGAACAGCAUAUAAAACAUGUAUUUUCUCCAUGAAACAGUAGUCAGUAUAUUGAUAUACACGUUGAGUUCUGGAAAAGGACUGCAUAAAAGGGACACACUUCCUGACAGCAAGCAAGAUGAAAGUGUUUUUACAUUACGGCCCUUAUCAGAGAUGAAAUGGUGUUUACCACUCGCAGAAACCAGUGACUCCAUUGAUUCAUUUUCCCAUGGGAAACCGUUCCCAUAUUUCGGCCAUGGGAGGACGUUCCUAUGGGAAAUAUUUAAAAUCGAAGACCCGCAACUGGUUAGGCCAAUGUCAGAUUGCUACAUGACAAUUCGUCAUCGCACAAGGCGUCUAUUGUACAAGACUUUCUGAAGCAGGAAAAGGUUGUUGUGCUCCCUCACUCUCCUUAUUCGCCUGACCUUUGCCUCGUGUGACUUCUUUUUGUUCCCAAGGUUCAAAAAAUACCUUUCUGGUCGAAGAUUUGUGCAGCGCAAACAACUCGGUUCUGCAAUAUUCCAAUGUCUUCAUAGUAUACCUAGAAAAUACUAUAAAAAUGCCUUCAAGGAUUGGAUUAGAAGACUGAAACUUUGCAUAUCUAUUGGAGGUGAAUACUUCGAGGGGACCAAAUAAAAUUUUCAUUGAAAUCUAUCAAGGAUACAUAUUUGAACAAUCCUCGUAGUUACCCGUACAGUGCAGUUUACUUUGAAGUAUAAUCAUAUAUUUCCACCUGCACGAUAAUUGACUGAGGCAUUAGUCAGAACGUUUCAUCUAUACAAUUGAUCCCAGGCAAAGGGUAUUAUUGGAAAAAAGUGACAUGCAAGUUUAAAAUUCCGUACGAUAGAACACUAGAAUGAUCUAAAUAAAGUAUGGUAUAUUUUGUAAAUUGAUUAUGCUUAUUGAUCGGUUUCGAAUACAAUUUAGAUAAAGCAAUGUUUAAGUCUGAUAUUUACACUCUCAAAAAUAAGAAUCGAUAUAUAAUAUCGCUAUUUAAGGAACGAAUGUAACAGGUUUUUUCAUGUUAAAACCUCUACCUGUGUUAUACUGUAUGACCAAAACUGGGAAGUAAGUAGUAUUCUACCUGUAAGCUUGUAUUUCGAUGAACAAGCAAGCAAAUAAUAUAUUAUGUAUAUUU